GAUGAACGCUGGCGGCGUGCCUAAUACAUGCAAGUCGAACGGAGAUCAGCGAUGGUCUUAGUGGCGCACGGGUGAGUAACGCGUGGAUAAUCUACCCGAUGGACCGGGAUAACAUUUCGAAAGGGGUGCUAAUACCGGAUAAGACCACGGCUUCUUAGGGGGCUGCGGUAAAAGGUGGGGACCUUCGGGCCUACCGUCAUCGGAUGAGUCCGCGUACCAUUAGCUAGUUGGUGGGGUAACGGCCUACCAAGGCUUCGAUCAGUAGCCGGCCUGAGAGGGUGGCCGGCCACACUGGGACUGAGACACGGCCCAGACUCCUACGGG
rnacentral:rRNA from 1 species